rnacentral:rRNA from 1 species
GACGAACGCUGGCGGCAGGCUUAACACAUGCAAGUCGAACGAGAUCUUCGGAUCUAGUGGCAGACGGGUGAGGAACACGUGGGAACAUCCCUUUCAGUUCGGAAUAACGUUGGGAAACUAACGCUAAUACCGGAUACGUCCUUCGGGAGAAAGAUUUAUCGCUGAAAGAUUGGCCCGCGUCUGAUUAGCUAGUUGGUGAGGUAAUGGCUCACCAAGGCUACGAUCAGUAGCUGAUCUGAGAGGAUGAUCAGCCACAUUGGGACUGAGACACGGCCCAAACUCCUACGGGAGGCAGCAGUGGGGAAUAUUGGACAAUGGGCGCAAGCCUGGUCCAGCCAUGCCGCGUGAGUGAUGACGGCCUUCGGGUUGUAAAGCUCUUUUGUCCGGGAAGAUAAUGACUGUACCGGAAGAAUAAGCCCCGGCAAACUUCGUGCCAGCAGCCGCCGUAA